rnacentral:lncRNA from 1 species
UAGAAGUUCGGAAGGAAUUCAUUUAUAGUAGAGAUCCAGAGUAGACCACUUGCAGUAGAAGUUCGGAGUAAAGUCGAUCGCAGCUGGGAGAAGUCUGGAAGAGAUUCGGAGAAUAGUCGACCACUGUAGAGAAUCGGCUGAAAGUGAAGUUCAGAGAGCGUUUGGAGCAGUCCGGUAGAUGAAUGGAGAAGCUCAUGAUUGGAGAAGUUCGGAUGGUAUUAUGGAAGCUCGAACAGUCGGGGGAGUUCGAAAAGAUGCCACACAAGGUCG